UACGGGGGGGGCAAGCGUUGUUCGGAAUUACUGGGCGUAAAGGGCUCGUAGGCGGCCAACUAAGUCAGACGUGAAAUCCCUCGGCUUAACCGGGGAACUGCGUCUGAUACUGGAUGGCUUGAGGUUGGGAGAGGGAUGCGGAAUUCCAGGUGUAGCGGUGAAAUGCGUAGAUAUCUGGAGGAACACCGGUGGCGAAGGCGGCAUCCUGGACCGGUAUUGACGCUGAGGCGCGAAAGCUAGGGGAGCAAACAGG
rnacentral:rRNA from 1 species